UCAGAUAUGGUGUAGUGGUAACACGGCCUCUUACUUUCCAUCUGAACCGAAAAGGUUUGAGGUAGUUAGGGUUCGACUCCCUGUGUCUGAA